ensembl:lncRNA
UUAAAACAGAGGGGAAAGAAGGGGCAUUUGUUAUGGCAUUUGUUAUUUGUUACGGCAUUUGUUUUCCCAAGAAAACAUUUAUUGGGAAGUGGUUACAGCACCAAACCUGCUGGAGUUCAAGAAAAAUUUGGACAGUGCUCUCAGAAAUAUGGUUUGAUUUUUGGGUAUUUCUGUAUGGAAGCAAGAGGUGGACUUUAUGUUUCUUAUGGGUCUCUUUCAUCUCAGGAUGUUCUAUUAUUUUCUGAUUAUGUGUGAUGAAGCCUUGCUUUCCUGGAAAUAACUGAACAACUUCCUGCUGAUGGGAGAUGUGUAGAGCCUGAGAUGGGUAUGGGAAUGUUCCUGAAAUACAAUCCUUCAGUUAUUUCACAGUUUUUGAAGAGGCAAAAGUUAAGGAGUUGGAUGCAUGUUUAGCAGGUCUCUUUGCCUGUGUGGGCUGCGUGCCCAGAGGUACACGUCGCAGGGCCAGAGGCAGGGUGGCAAGCCCUGUCCCCCCCUGUGCCGUGACUUUGCUGCUGCAGCGCCUGCAAGACAAGGAGGGUGACCGAGCGCAGGCGUACUGCGAGCUGGAGCACGUCCUGCGGGAAGGUGACAGCCGCCCGCCGUGCGGAGUGGUGAACCGGCUGCUGGCUGAGGUGUCCCAGGACCUGACGGCAGCCCAGGGCGUGCCGGACAGCGUGAGGAUGGC